AUGCAUUACUACUGUAAGCCGCUCUGGAUAAGAGCGUCUGCUAAAUGACUAAAA
rfam:Salmo salar isolate Sally breed double haploid chromosome ssa09, whole genome shotgun sequence.